rfam:Camelus ferus unplaced genomic scaffold scaffold634, whole genome shotgun sequence.
GAGAAUAUAGUUCAGUGGUAGAGUGUGUGCUUAGCAUGCACAAGGUCCUGGGUUCAAUCCCCAGUAACCCCA